rnacentral:rRNA from 1 species
UACAGAGGGGGCAAGCGUUAAUCGGAAUUACUGGGCGUAAAGCGUGCGUAGACGGUUACGUAAGUCAGAUGUGAAAGCCCCGGGCUCAACCUGGGAAUUGCAUUUGAGACUGUGUAGCUAGGGUGCGGAAGAGGGAAGCGGAAUUUCCGGUGUAGCGGUGAAAUGCGUAGAUAUCGGAAGGAACACCAGUGGCGAAAGCGGCUUCCUGGUCCAGCACCGACGUUCAGGCACGAAAGCGUGGGGAGCAAACAGG